rnacentral:tRNA from 5 species
GGGCGAGUGGCGGAAUUGGCAGACGCGCUAGGUUCAGGGUCUAGUGAGCUUACGCUCAUGGGGGUUCAAGUCCCCCCUCGCCCACCA